rnacentral:rRNA from 1 species
GAUGAACGCUGGCGGCGUGCCUAAUACAUGCGAGUCGAGCGAACAGACGAGGAGCUUGCUCCUCUGACGUUAGCGGCGGACGGGUGAGUAACACGUGGAUAACCUACCUAUAAGACUGGGAUAACUUCGGGAAACCGGAGCUAAUACCGGAUAAUAUAUUGAACCGCAUGGUUCAAUAGUGAAAGACGGUUUCGCUGUCACUUAUAGAUGGAUCCGCGCCGCAUUAGCUAGUUGGUAAGGUAACGGCUUACCAAGGCGACGAUGCGUAGCCGACCUGAGAGGGUGAUCGGCCACACUGGAACUGAGACACGGUCCAGACUCCUACGGGAGGCAGCAGUAGGGAAUCUUCCGCAAUGGGCGAAAGCCUGACGGAGCAACGCCGCGUGAGUGAUGAAGGUCUUCGGAUCGUAAAACUCUGUUAUUAGGGAAGAACAAAUGUGUAAGUAACUAUGCACGUCUUGACGGUACCUAAUCAGAAAGCCACGGCUAACUACGUG